rnacentral:rRNA from 1 species
UAACGCGUGAGUAACCUGCCUUUUACAGUGGAAUAACACUGGGAAACUAGUGCUAAUACCGCAUAAUGUCAUUUUACGGCAUCGUAGAAUGAUCAAAGGGGAAAUCCGGUAAGAGAUGGACUCGCGUCUGAUUAGCUAGUUGGUGGGGUAAUGGCCUACCAAGGCAGCGAUCAGUAGCCGAACUGAGAGGUUGAUCGGCCACAUUGGGACUGAGACACGGCCCAGACUCC